rnacentral:rRNA from 1 species
GAUGAACGCUGGCGGCGUGCCUAAUACAUGCAAGUCGAACGCGCAGCGAAAGGUGCUUGCACCUUUCAAGCGAGUGGCGAACGGGUGAGUAACACGUGGAUAACCUGCCUCAAGGCUGGGGAUAACAUUUGGAAACAGAUGCUAAUACCGAAUAAAACUUAGUAUCGCAUGAUACAAAGUUAAAAGGCGCUACGGCGUCACCUAGAGAUGGAUCCGCGGUGCAUUAGUUAGUUGGUGGGGUAAAGGCUUACCAAGACGAUGAUGCAUAGCCGAGUUGAGAGACUGAUCGGCGACAUUGUGACUGAGACACGGCCCAAACUCCUACGGGAGGCUGCAGUAGGGAAUCUUCCACAAUGGGCGCAAGCCUGAUGGAGCAACGCCGCGUGUGUGAUGAAGGCUUUCGGGUCGUAAAGCACUGUUGUAUGGGAAGAAAUGCUAAAAUAGGGAAUGAUUUUAGUUUGACGGUACCAUACCAGAAAGGGACGGCUAAAUACGUGCCAGCAGCCGCCGCGG